rnacentral:rRNA from 1 species
UACGUAGGGAGCUAGCGUUGUCCGGAAUCAUUGGGCGUAGAGCGCGCGUAGGCGGCCCGGUAAGUCCGCUGUGAAAGUCAAAGGCUCAACCUUUGAAUGUCAGCGGAUACUGCCGGGCUAGAGUCCGGAAGAGGCGAGUGGAACUCCUGGUGUAGCGGUGGAAUGCGCAGAUAUCAGGAAGAACACCAACGGCGAAGGCAGCUCGCUGGGACGGAACUGACGCUAAGGCGCGAAAGCGUGGGGAGCGAACAGG